GAGUUGUGGCUCUGUGGUAGAGUGCCUGCCUGGCAUGUGUGAGGCCCCGAGUUCAAUCCUCAGCACUGCACA
rnacentral:tRNA from 1 species